rnacentral:lncRNA from 1 species
UUUUCUCGACAACAUUUCUGUGAAACCAUUUGUUUAAUUAUUUGCAUACUGUGACUCUGGGAGGUCCCUGGACGUCUGUGCUUCUCUCCCAAGACCUGCUCGUGCUUGAUGAUUUCAGCCCCUCUUGGAUCCUGCACAGCAGAGGUGUCUAGGUCUCCCACAUGCCUAGGCUCUCCCAGCCAUGGGAUGGGCAUCCUUCAGCUUCCCAGAAAAGGAACUCUCAAAUGAACAAGAUCAGAGAAAGAAUGUGAAAGAACAUGCCUUCUGUUCUACAGGGAUGGCUCUGAAUGUAAUUUCUAGAUCCAGCUGGUUUACUCUCUGAUAGACAAGUUCCUACAGAGAUGGAGAUGGACUAAUGAGGGAGGCUAAGCUGCCCUUUUGUUGGUUUGUAGUACUGUAGUGGUGGAGGUGUGGUGGUGGUUCUAGAAGUAUUUAUGAAUUCACCCCUACACACACACACACACACACACACACACACACACACACACACACACACACACAUUUUUUUUAAAGUUAUAAUUUCAAGAUUCCAAGUUGAGUCAAGACAAUUUUGGAGGAAAAAUAAAUUAGAAAAACCUGACUCGCCAGUGUUUCUAGAAUCAUAUAGAGAGAGUCUAAGACUUUCUUUUAGAUAUCAGUCUACUUUAUUAGCUAGAAAGAAUGGAUUGCUUCUAUAAACUUCCAAUACUCUGACCUGAUCCAUACUUGCAUUUGGAGUUCUAAUAAUGUAUCUGCUCUAAUAAUGAGCAGUACCCUCAAUGCACAGUCAUUUGGUUUUAUGAUUUGGCUUCCAAGUUGUGAGGCUUAGCCGUGUCUGGAGACAUCAGGAGUCAAAGCUUUGUCCUGUCCAUGCCCCAGGGAGGACGCUGUAGCACCUGGGCCAGAGCGGCUUCAAGUCAAGUUCACAUCCUGGUUUAUAGCUCUCCUUCCUGUCCAUGUCUUAUUCUGUCUCUUUCCCUCGUUGCUUUCCUUCGUCACCUCCUUUAAAGGGGUUGGUUGGUUCCUGGCAGCUCACAAUUUACUCUGGAGAAAGUGGUGUCAUAGCUCAGCGGAACACAGAGCCCAGGCUGUUUGUGUCACAUCCCAUUCCUGCCACCAAGAAGUGCUGCUGAUAUUGCUGCUGCUCAUCCCCCUGUCUCCAUCCCGCAGGGAUGCCACAGGACUCAGGGUGGGACCCUGGCCUAGUCAACCUUAAAAAAUCUCAAAGACAUUUUGACAGCUUCCAGCGAGUAAAAAUUCAUAUGUAGCUCACUGCCUGUUAAGAAGCUUUUGAUUGAUAGCUCUCUGUUUUAAUGUUAGAGAAUCUGUAGCCACCCACUCACAACAUGGGGGCAGCAUACUAUAUUAGAAGAAGACACAGUGUCCCUGCUAAAUGCCAGUUCUGUUGUUUACUAGACAAGUCACAUGGAUGAUGCCCAGUAAGUGCUGAUAUUCCUGUGCCUUUCCAGUGCCCCUCCCCCUCUUCCCAGGUGGGAGUGAUCAUGCUGACAUUGCCCGAUUGCUAAAGUCCCUCUGUGUUCGUGUUCUGCACUCUACCCCACUCCUUGAAUUAAGUUACUGGCUCAGAGAUCUGCCAAGUGGGUACGUGCAUGUCCUUUGCUUUUGCACAAUACCCUUUUCCCAUUUCCUAAUGGAACAAAGCAAGACUCUGGGCUGCAGUGGGAGUAUCUUCAUUUUUUUGCACUUAGAUGCUGAAGUGUAGAGCACACAUUCAGUGUUUAAUUGGGUUGCCUUUUGUUCCCCCUGGGGAAUGUAUCAAGGCACACACUAAAGGUCCCUGGCAGCUCCGUACACUGUUUCUUCUGCGUUUCCCUGUUACCCCAGACCCAUCACAUCUAAUGAUGGGCUUGUGCAUGGAGAAAUUGAGGUUGCGUUUUCCUGAGUUUUCCAUCCAUCACUGUGUUCAGCAGUAGGGACGAUUUUGCACAAGGCCAAUAUAAGAGAUACAGAGUGGGCAUAAACUCAGUCUGCAGAGCAUCAGAAUCCAAAAAAGGUGACAUCGUUUAUAAAAAAUGUUUCCCUCACAUCCACUUUCC